UACGGAGGGGGCUAGCGUUGUUCGGAAUUACUGGGCGUAAAGCGCACGUAGGCGGCUUUGUAAGUUAGAGGUGAAAGCCCGGGGCUCAACUCCGGAAUUGCCUUUAAGACUGCAUCGCUAGAAUUGUGGAGAGGUAAGUGGAAUUCCGAGUGUAGAGGUGAAAUUCGUAGAUAUUCGGAAGAACACCAGUGGCGACGGCGACUUACUGGACACAUAUUGACGCUGAGGUGCGAAGGCGUGGGGAGCAAGCAGG
rnacentral:rRNA from 1 species